rnacentral:lncRNA from 1 species
UACACCAUUUGUCUCAACUUAAAACAUGGCCUUCCAUUGAUAUACAAUAGUUUGGUUCAUUGCAGUUGGUCCAUUGAUAUAAAGUGUACCACCUUGCUGUAAAUCGAGGCAACCAUCAAAAUUUUUAGCCAUGUAAAUGAAAAUUUUGUAUAUGCCGUUCUAUUUAUGAUGGAUAAUUGCAUCCUUACACCUUAUUGUUUCAGUUCAUUUAUAACAUAAAACUCGGGUAUGGUCAAUGAACUCACUUCAUGAAUUUUUGGUAAUGCCCAAGCUCAAGCUUGAGUUUUAAGUCAAUUAUAUAGAGACUGAAAAAGAACACUACUGCUUAAACCUUAAAUUUGAGCUAGGAAAAGCGUGAGCUUUAAUUUUUGUUACAUUGUAGACACUCCUAAAACUUGGUAUUCUAUUUCCAAUGAAAAGAGACAAAAAGAGCACUACCAUGCUGGAGCUUACUUUUUCUUAAUAACUGGACUCACACAUAAGCUGCUUUUUUCGCCCUAAAUUCUGUAUAUUUAAUUAUCAUGCAACAAGGCCAGAAAUUACAAAGUAAUUCCAACCAUGGUUGUUUUUCCUUAUUCAUCUUCUCACAUUUUCAUUUUCAACCCAAAAUAGCUAGAGGUGAUUAUCUUUUUUGAUUGCUUUCUCUUAUAUCCAAACGGUAUGAAAAAACUUCUAGGCUUGCAAAUACUUCUCUAAAAUCUAAUUUAUAGUACUAUUGCUGACAUGCUUUUGAACUAUUCUUUCCCCUUCAUUUUCCAAUACUAUAUAUUCUCUCUCUCUCUCUCUCUCUCUCUCUUUUUUUCUUUUUGAUAAGAACAAAAUAACUCCUUCACGAUAUGAGCCAACUGAUGUUCCAUUUUCUUUCAAAAAUGGUUCCCUUAACAGCCAUGCAAAUUUUCUGCAUAAAAUAGACCAUUUUCUUCAAUAUUGAUUAGAAAGGUGAACUCCGGUGAAGUUUACAUGUAAGGUGUGAUCAUAUUAUGAAGUAAUUCUCUUUUAUCUUUAUUUGCUAACUUCUUAUUGGCCUUCACUUUUAACUUCUGUUUAUCUUUUUUUUCUUCUGGAUUACAACCCCAAAAAUCUGCCAACCUGCCUACAAAAGAAAAGAAUUGUUUAGUGGAGCACAUUGUGUGAAGUUCUAUAUUUGCUAAUAAGUUUACUUCUUGUUCUUGUUCUGACUAGGUAAAAAGGGAAAAAGAAAAACAAUUACUGAGGCAUUUUUUUGUGGAGAUUCUGGACAAGUGCCUCACUCUAGAAUGAUUGAUUUGCUUCCUAGCUUCUUGCAAAAUUGCAUUACCUCUUUUGAAGUUGAUGGUAGUUUAUAUCCUGCAACCUUUUAUAGUUAAGGGCGAAGAACUAUAAUUGUUAGUAAUAAAAAGAUAACAUGCAGAAACAGGAAAAUCAGCUCAAACUAGCCCUACUAGCUCAAAUCCCAGUCCUUAGCCCAUUGACUCAUAUGAUAGGCUUACAUAAUGUAUCUACCUGCUACCUCAGACCUCAAUGUUUGUUAUACUAAUGGGGUGCUUGUACUUAGACAAAUGGAGUUGCUACUGUAGAAGCAUGGUGGCUCAGACUGGUCUCAGAAACAACCCAUCUCAGGAUCAAUUACCAAAGAGGAGGAAGAAGCAGUGGAGACCCUGUACACAUUGGUAGGAAUGUUCCCCAAUAGUGAUAAGACGGACAAUAAGGGUGAAUUGGUUGGCGAAUCAUCAGAAUCAAAGCAUUCAACUUUGCCAGAGGCGAGGGAGAGCCCUGGACCCGCAUUAGGUCUCUUCUUGAUUUGCUAUUGAUUGCCUUGUUGAGGCUCUUCUUUUGUCUUUAUUUGCUUUUUUUAAUUUUUUUGGGUUCUGGUUUGUUAAGAUUUAAUAGUUUAUCUGAUUCUGCAGUUUCAUACUACCAAAGGCAUACUGUCAAAGAUAGUACAAAAAUGGUAUACAUCUUUUCCUUGAAUGGAUUUUCCCAUUUCAUAAUUUUUUUGGUCGUUGCUUAGAAUGCAGAACAUAGCUCUUGCAUCUACUUCUGCAUAUUAAUAUUCUCAUCAUGCCUUAAUCUUUGAUUUUUGGUUGGAAGAUCUGGUAUUAUGGCCAGGCUUGUCAUCAACAGGGUUGCUUGGGACAGCAAUUCAUGGCCCUUCCUUGCAGUAAUUUGCUUCCCUUCUCUUUGCUUCUCUCUCUCUCUCUCUCUCUCUCUCUCUCAUCCUUCAUUCAUAUUCGUGUUUCAGUUCUUCUAAAACUCAAGCUUGGCUAGAUAAUGCUACUGGCACUACAUGACCUAGUUCAUUUGGAAAUGGUGUCUCAACCGAAAAGGUAACCACCACUUGCUACUCUAGCUGAUGCUUAAAAGUUCUGCAAUAUGAGUAUUCAUUCCCUUGCAAGUUUUUAUAUAUAAUUUUUUUAAGCAUUUGAUUGAGUUUAUGUUGUGUUAUUGAGUGUACAGGUUUCUAGAGUUACAGUGCAUAAAAAGCAAUCAUGGAAAAGAUGUGCAGCUCAUAUGUUCACAUAAGUCGUCUUAUUUGGGAUUUAAAAAAUUCAGAGAGAAAGGAAAGGAUUUCAAUGCAGCGUAACCAAUUGAGAACAGAUGAAGAAUCAAAGGAAGUAGUUUCUCUGGCAGGCAACAAUCCCAGUGGCCUGAGAAAUGGAUUGAAUGGAGUUGUUUCUGCUAACAGCAUUGGUGGUUCAGCCAUGGAGAAGAAUUCAAUUGAAGCUAGAAAAGGUAUUUUUCUACAGCAGGGGCUCCAUCAAGAUCAGCAGCGGCCUCCUGCAUCUGGGACCUACACUUCUCUUUGUCUAAGUACAGUAGCAACUCCAUUUGACUAAUGCUGGUGAGUAGUUCCAUCUAAAAUGUGUAUAUUUGGCUCCCAAAUUUAUAAUUCUGCAGCAUAUCCAAUGAUCAGAAUCAACAAAUCACUUGGUUGAUUUUCUUAUCAGCAUGAACAGUUCUCUUUUGCUUAGGUUCCAAUAGUGAGCCAUGGAAGAUUGAAAAAAGAAGUCAAAUUUACUUGAGAUGUUUUCUCUCAAUUUGCAGGUUCUUUUGGAAAUAAUCUUACUCCAGUUGAUCCCUGUUGUUAUGAAAGGAACAAUAGUCAUGUGGAUACUCGAUUGUAUUUGAUUUUGUUUGGUUGUGUUUCAAGAUAGAAUUGAUUGUAUAAGGGUAGGUGAAUGAGGCAUGUUCUAACUUAAAUGUUUAGUUGAUGUUUUUGACAAGUGAAUACUUGACCAAUACAAAAGGUGUAUAUUGUUUAGAAAGUUGAUGUUGAGUAAAAAUUUGUUUCUAUCAACCAUUUCAUUUGAAAUGUUACUAUUAAAUUAUUAAAAAUGAUAUUUAAAGUUGAAACAAGGGAGAUGAAUUAAAGGUUAAACAUGUGAUAUGCAUAAGAUUUUUUUAUUUAAUUUUUUUUUGUAAUAAAAUAUAUUUCAUCAAAAAAAUUAUAUUUCAUGGUAAAAUUAUAUUUCAUCAAAAAAAAUUAUCUUUCAUCAUGAAUUUUUUUAUGGCAAAAAAGUGACAUUUUAUUAUGAUUAUUUUUAUGAAAAAUAAUAUAUCGUCACAAAAUUUUAUUUAGUGAAAGUGUCAUGUUGCCAUAAAUUUAUUUUAUAGUGAAAAAUGACAUAUUGUCACAAAUUUAUUUUUUGAUGAAAAGUGACAUUGUCAUAAAUUUUAUUUUGUGGAAAAAUCAUUUUUUUUUAUUAUGAAAUUAAAUUUUAAAAAUAAUUGCUCAGAGACUUAUUGCAACAAACUCACCAUAAAUAAUUUUUUGUAACAAGAAAUCUUCUACCCAAAAAUAUUCUUUCUUAAUAAAAAAUUAAUUUAUAAAAAAAGCUCAUAAUUAUCGUAGUGCAAUCUGGAGUUGAAUAUGAUGUUAGAUAUAUAGUCAAGUAAUUUGAAUAGGUUUUUUUUUUUUUUUUCAUUUUUGGCUUUUAUUUUAAUAUUGUUGUUUUUAAUUAUCCCAAAAUCUUAUAGAAUUUGGAGAUCCCUAUCAUUGGGCUAUCUAAAAUUAAACUCUUUUUUUUUUUCAUUUUUUUCUUUUAUAAAUAUCUUAGUACCUAUCCAAUAUUUAAAAUGAAUUAUUGAAUUUAGAAUCUAGAUCCUUAUGUUAAAAAUUGUACUUUAUUUUUGCUUUGUUGCUAGGAUCUAGAGCCUAGGAAAAAAUUCAUGCACCUAAUUUGAUUUUAGGACGGGGAACAAAGUGAUCUAGGAUUUCUACAUUUAUUCUGAAUUUUAUUAUAUAAAAACUUUUCCCAAAUAAUAAUAAAAACCCUUACUCAUAGAGACUUUGUUUUUUAUUUAAGGUUAAAUUAGCGACCACGUAGUACCAUUAAUGAAUUAUUUUUAUUAAAAUCACUUCUUUUUUUUAUUUAUUAAAUUCACUUUUGUUUUUCUUUUUUGACUUCCUAACCCUAUACAAAUUAGAUGAACAAUAAGAAUUUCUUUUCUUUUCUACAUCUAAUCUAGAAAAUAUUUUAUUAUUGAGAACAAGAAUAGAUUCCUUAGAGAAAUUAGAUUUUUACUUUGUAGAAAGUAAAAACAAUUAAUAGUGAAAUUUCUAUGUUUAUCUCUUUAUUUUUCUUUUUUUUUGUUUCUUCUUAUAUCUCUCUAGGGUUUUUCUCUUUUUUAUCUCUUCAUCUUUUUCUCUAUAUCUCCCUUCUCCAUAAUCUUCUUCAGAUUUGUUAAUUAUUUUUAUUUUUCUUUUUAAAAACUAAAACUCCUUGAAUGUGGUUUAAAUUUUAUAACUUCUUUUUUUAUUUAAAAUAUCAUCAUCAUCAUAUGCAUCCCUCCAAUUAGGAGGUAGUGCACAAUAAUCUCGAUAUUACACAUCCCUUCAAUUAGGAGGUAACGUACUACAAUCUCAAAUAGAUUGUAUAAGUCUAUAAACCAAUUAUGAACAAAUCAUCUACUUACAAAGAAGUUACAACUUGGAUAUUCUAUACAACUUCUAAAACACCUAAGUCAUGUACAAUGCAAGAUAUAUCAAUCUUGAAUGGAAUAGGCAAAAGAGAACUGAAAUAAUCCAUUUAUUGUUACACCAUGUCAUGCUUUUAAGGAUUCUAUCCCAAUAUUUACAUGGGUGUUAAAUAUGGUUCUAAUUUUAGUUAAGUAUUAAAAGUUGGAUACUAUUAUGCAUAUGAGGCAAGUCAAUUUGCAUGAGUGGGGACUUUAGCACUUAAAUUGCAUUAAUUUCUAAAGAUACAAUAUUGCUCCAUGUCAAGGCUAUGACUUGCCUAGAUGGGGUAUUAAAUAUGUUUUUAAUUUUAAUUGAGUAUUAAAAUUUAGGCACCAAUAUGCAUCAAAGGCAAGUCAAUUCAUAUGAGUGGGGACUUUAGCAUUCAAAUCACAUUAUGUGCCAAAAAUACAAUCCUGCUCCACAUCAAGGCUAUGAUAGCCAUAGACAUUAGAUAUGAUUCCAAUUUUAAUUAGGUGUUCAAAUUUGGACAUCAUUGAGCAUCCAAGCUAAACCAAUUUGCAUGAGUAAAGCUUUAACCCUUAAGUCGCAUUAAGUGCUGAAAAUACAACACCGCUUCAUGUCAAGACUAUGACUUGUCUACAUGGGUGUUAAAUAUGGUUCCAAUUUUUAAUGACGUGUCAAAAGUUGGACACUCUUGUCCAUCAAAACCAAGUUAAUUUGUAUGGGUGAAGACUUAAACACUUAAGUAUCGAAUGCAAUUCAACUAAAGUUGACUUCUUGCGAAAGUUUAAAUUCAAUCUUAUACGUUAUUGCCCUUGGAAUAUUUUUAGUGUCUAUAUUAUAUAAUCUUGUUUAUUCAUCUUUACAAAAUUUGGAUUUAAUUAAUUCAUUUUCCAAAAAAGUUCCUAUUAGAAUUUUUUGGGAUAAAAUAAUAAAUAAGGCAUAUAAUUGGUCAUAUAAUUAUGGUUACAUGGAUGCUUUUUAUGAAAUUAAACAUCCUUAACUAAAAGUAUAAUAGGCUUAAUAGAACUAUAUAUAUAUAUAUAUAUAUAGAGAGAGAGAGAGAGAGAGAGAGAUAGAGAAGUGAUGUUCAAAUAAAAAAACUUUUCUUGUAACACAAGGUCUUCUUUGACACUAAAUGAAAAGAGAGGAAGAUAACAAAACAGUCUUAGAAAAAAGUGGAAGAGAGACAUCUAAAACAAGAAAAAUUCCUACCAAAAUAUUUCUUUGGAAAAAAAAAAUCAAAGAAAGGAGGUCAAAGGCCCAAAAGGCUAACUUCAAGUCUUAGACAAACGCAUGUACGUGUUGUGUCUUGACAUUAGGACAUUUGUUGACAUAAAAAAAUUGUUGGAUUAAUUGAUUAUCAAAAUUGUGACUAUUUAGCUCAACAAAAUUUGAUAUUGACAAGUGAUGACUUAUACACAUCAAACACACGGCAUGCAUGCAAUUUAAAAAGUGACACGUGAAAUUUGGAAGGUUACAAAAUCAAGUCUUACAAAAUAAAAUAAUUAAAGUCAAAAGGGAAUUAGAAACUAGUUGGUAAAUUUCCCAAAUUAAGAAAACAAAUCUUUCAAUUAAAGUCAAAAGAAAAUUUAAAAUAAAUAUUUUGUAGCAAAUAUCUUAAAUAAAGAAGAUAAGUUACAAAAAUCAAAGUUCUAAAUUCUUUGAACUAAGCAAUUAAAUAUUAGGGAUUUCAAAUUUAAUUCCUUAAUUUCACUUAUAAAUAAUAGUGAUUUUCUUUAAUAGAGAGAAUGAAAAAAUAACUUCAAAGGGGAAAGAGGUUUCGUAGGACGAAAAAAAACACUUCACAAGACAUCCCAACAAGUCCAAGAGAAAAGUUAUUUAGGAACAAGUUGUGUUAGACCCUUGAUUGAUCUUCAAGUUUAAGAAAAUACUUCCAUCAUCAUCUAUUUGACUAUGAUCAAAAUGAUCGAAUUAGAGAAAAAUAUCCUUUUAAAAAGAAUAUUAACACAAAGAUUAUAUUUUACAAGUAUUUCAAUACAAAAAAAAAAUUAAACGGAUAUUUUUCUUGAAGUUUUGCUUAUUUUGUAAGACUUUAAAAAAUUGUGCGUACGAAGACCUAUUAAUGAAAUAAAUUCAUUAUUCUCCAUGUUUCAAUUUUUUUCUCUUGUGGUUUUAUUUCUUCCUUUAUUUUACAACAUUAUUAAUUUUAAUUCUUUUUUUUUUCUUUCGCUUUUUUUUUUAUAUUUUUAACCUCUAAUAUUUUUUUUUCCAAUAAACCAACACACCAAAAAAUUUCCAUCAAAAUUUUUAAAAGCCAAAUAUAAGAAAAGUAAAAUACAAUGUAUUAAAGACUGUACUUGACCAAUUUAAUUUUGGAACCAGGGAUAAAAUUUCAAUUUUGAUGGAUAUAUUGGUAACUUAAUUUUACGUACGUAUCGGGAUUUAUAAUGAAAUAUCGAUGGUAUUUUGACAUAUAAAUAUUGGUGAAGUAAAAAAUUAAUCAAAAUUCAUAAAAAUGUUAGAAAAACUCUAAAAAAUAAUAUAAGAAGUAAUAAUAUUGAUAUAUGAAGAAAUUGAUAUAUAAAUAAUAUAAUUUAUGAUAUUUUAUAAUAAUAGGUAAUAUUUGAAAAUGCAUGUAAUAGUAAAAUAAUAAUUAAUAGAAUUUGAAAAUGAAUUUAAUACUAAAAUGAUCAUUUAUAAUUUACGUAUAAUUAUUAAAUUUGUAUUUAAUUUAUGAUUUAUGUGCUUUCAAUAAUAAAUUAAAUGGAAGUUGAAAAUAAAUAAUUAAAAUCAAUAUAUUUAUUAAAAAUUUAUUUUAAUAUUUUAUUUUUAAAAAAUAUAUAUAUAUAUAUAAUUUAGGUGUAAGCAUAAAAUAUAUAAAAUGUAAGCCUCAUAUUAAUAUGUAAGGCAUGUUUACCACAGUAGUACAUGGUUUAACAUGAUAUAAAUGUUUUUACCAUUUCAAAUAUUUCCAUGUAAAUUUUAUAAAAAUAAGGAUAUUUUUAUCAAAUUGAGAUUAAAAAAAAGACAUUAAAUUAAAUUUUUUUUUUAAAAAAAAGUGGAAACACGAAAAUUUUCGAAUAUAUCUUCCCGGAUUAUUUUUGUAACAGGAAUCACACAAGGGUAGAUUGAUACAAUAGAAACCUCUGGUAAAAUGUCCGCCCGUAACCCAGCAGAUAAAGUACAUUACAUAGUCCGUUUUAGGGAUUGGCUACUUACCCAUUCAGUGACUUUGGCACUGGACGUUCCCAAAAUGGGUACUAUCGGGUCGGGUGAAUUCAAUAAUAGACGCCUGUUGGCAUUCCAGCCUUCCUUCUCCUUUCAGGGCCUAUCCGAAAGUGAAUAUCUAAAUAGGACGAACCGCCCCGUGGAUAUCUUUGCUUCGGAACAAAACAAUUAGAAUUAGGCUCGGUCAACUGGAAUGUGUAUUAUCCAUAUAAGGGAUCUUCCAAUUGAAAAGAUCCAUCGACUUGAGACGAAGAGAAAGGUCUAUCCAUUUUAUUUAGUUAUUCAGUUAAACCAAUGAUUCGUUAUUGGAGCAACCUUGAGUAGAACGGGCGGAUCCGGUUCGGUUUUUGGGUCGGAAUACCAAUCAAUCGGUAUUACCAGUGAACCAAGUGGCCCGAUCCGUUUUUCCUUUUUCUCUCUUUUUAGCAGUAGGUCCCACGCGUCAUUCAGCACACCCACUUUUGUUCACUCAAAACUUCAAAGUGGUGGGGCCCAUUUUGAGAUUUUUAACAAAAAAAACUCACUCACAUACAAGGAUAAAAAUAUCGGUAAUUCGAUUUUAAUGAUAUAUCGAAUAUAUCGACGUAUAUUUUGACAUAAAAUAUUGAUUGACCUAAAAUUGAUUAAAACUUAUGAAAAUAUAAAACAAAACUCUUAUAAAUGAAAUUAAAAGUAUAAUGAACAUUUUAAAGUUGUUUUGUUAAAGAAAUUAAUAUAUAUAUAUAUACAUUGAUUAUUAAAAUAUUACAUCAAAUAUUAUUCAAUAAUAAUAUUGUGAUAUUUGAUUAUAAUAUGUUUAAUUUUAAAAUAUAUUUAAUAUUAAAAUUAUGAUAUAUUUAAUUUUAUUGUAUUAAAUGAUAAUAAAUGUAUAAUUUUUUAAUAUUUAAUUAAUAUAUUAAUGAUAUUAAAAACUUUUUGCUACUUAAUUAAAUGAAAAAAUUUUAUUUACUUAUGAAAUAAUUAUAAUUAAUUUGUAGUUUAAAGGUUUGUUUUAAUAUUUUGUGUAUACAAACACUUUUAAUAUAUAUAUAUAUAUAUAUAUAUAUAUAUAUAUGUAUGGUGCAUGAUUAUUAACAAAGGGCAAACUUGCCCUGAUGGUCGAUAGGUGUCGUAUCUAUAUAUGAAGGUAAUAAAACAUAAAUAAAAUCAAUAAUAAUUUAUUUCAAUUUUUUGAGAUAUGAUAUAUCUUUUAAACAACUAAAUAUUAUAAAUUUACUCUUCAUAACUAUUCAUUAUAAUUUCAUGAUAAUAUUAAAGAUAAAAUAACAUAAUAUUUUAAAAUUUUUAAUUAUUUAUAUAUAAUUUUAAUUUUUAUAAUUAUUUUUAAUUUUAAUAAUAUAUAAAUUAUACAUUUAUAAUAUUCCACCAUUGAACUACAACAAUAUUAGAAACAUUUUAUUUUACAUCUAUUUUUUGUUUCUAAUUUUCAUCACCCAAUUUCAAAUACUCUUUUUGAAAAGCUUACAAAAAAAAAGUACGUUUGAUUGUAAUUUUAUGAAACAUUUUUAAUUUAAAAUUUUUUAGAAAAACUAAACUAAAUUAGGUCUUUGAUAAAAUUUAAAAAACACUUUUAAAAAUCUAAAAAAUUAUUUCUAGUAUUAAAAAAUCGCUUAUAGUAUUUUUUUUGGAGAAACAUUUGAUAGAUAAUUUUCCUAAAAAUACUCUCACAUAAUACACUUUCACUAAAAAUAUUUUGAUAGAAAUAAUGUCAAACACUUUAAAUAUAGGGGAGUCCGUUUGGUAAUGAUUCUAUGAAGUGUUUCUAAUUUUUUUUAUGCUUGAAAGAUAAAAAAUUUUAAGUGUUAAAAAAACUAGAAACACUUCUUAGAAUUACUGUCAAACAUACUCUUAAAUCAUUCUCACUUUGUAAAAUUAACCAUUCACCUUUUUUCAACUUAAAAAAAUACCCAUUUUGGACAAAAAUAAAUUCAUUUUUUUCUUAUAAAAGUAACCAUUUCUUUUAAAACGCAUAUGUAAAUAAUGAAAAUAUUGAAGGGUAUUUAUGUCAAAAAUGGGUUAUUCUUCAAGUUUAAAAGUGGGAGAGAUUAGUUUUAUAAAUUUAGUAUCUUUUCAUCAUUUUAAUCAAUUAAUCCUUAAAUAUAUUUAGAAAUUAACCCUAUGUUUCAUUGACAGUGCCAUACUAAAACAUUUGAGCCUAUUUGAAAUUUGCGUGUUUUCAAAUUAUUUAAUUUUUUUUAUCAAAUAGUUCAAAAUAAAUUAAUUGAAUUUAAAAUGGUAUAUAAAAUUAAUUUAUUAAUUCUAAAUUUAUUUAUUUAUUUAUUUUUAUUUGCUUUUCUUUUCUUACACUUUUCUUCUCAAUUUUCUUUCCAUUGUAUUUUUUCUCAAAUAUUCUCAUAACCAAACAUAGCCUAUGAUUAAGUUAAAAUUCUUAUUGAUUAAUUAACUAAAAUGGGUUUAUUAGGAUUCAGUUAAUUUUAUCACUAGUUAUAUACCUGUAGACCCCCAUUUGGGGAACCUUUUUUUCUUUCAUUUUUUGCAGCUCACUUGCCAGCUGGAGGGCUCUUUGAAAGCCAAGUGUUGCCUCCUGGUUGGUGGCUGUGGAAUCAGCUUAGUGGAGCUGAUGGACAAAUGAGAAAGCAACAGCUAUUGGAGGAUAUGCAGAGGAUUCAGAGUCUGUUAUUAGAGGGGUACGUUUCUGUUGAGGGGUAGCAGGCCAGCUGCAGGAGAGGUGGUCUGGGCUGCCAUUAGAGAUUUUUUUGAGAGGGUAAGGUGCUUUUCAGAGGAGAAAGAGAGAGCUUAGAAAAAGGCUGCCGGAGAGGUUGGUUUUUUUCAGUGGUUUUUUUGAGCUAGAUAUAGACUGAGAGACUACCGGAGAGAAGAACCUAGGGGGGAAAACGAGACAGGAAGGCUUGUUGGUGAGGAGAUAUUUUGGUAGAGCUUCCUUUCGAGUUUUUGAGAGAAGAUAUUUUGAAGGGGAUCCUGGAGUUAAAAGAAAGAGAGAGGUUUGAACUUUCUUGGGCUGCAAGCCUGGAGAUAUUUUGGGAAAAGACGGCGAGAGAGAGAUUUUUGAGAGAGAGUAUUCGUGGGAGCGAGGAGCAGCAAGCUGUGGGAGGAACGGUGGCUGCUUUGAGAGAAAAGCUUGAGAGAGGAGACUGAUUUUCUGAGGGUUAACUAAGAAGAAAACGCAGAGAGAAAGAGGGAAGUGGCUUAAGCAAGAGAGAGAGAGAUUUUUCGAGAGUAGAGGGAGAGGGAUUUUCCUGUAGAGAGAUCCCAUUGCUGUGAGAGGAGAAGGAUUUUCCUGUGGAGAGAUCCCAUUGCUGUGGCUGUUAGUGAGGAGAAGAGGGUUUUAGCUUUGCGAGAGAGAGCAUUGUGAGGAGUUUUACAAGGAAGCUAGCGGAGUGGGAGAGAGCUUCUGCUUGCUGUUAUUUUUGUCGUUGAGGAGAUAGAUUUUUGAGAGAGGAGAGGAUGUUUUUUGGCUGCCAGCUACAUGGUAGUGGAGAGGGGAUUUUAGGCAGCUGCAGGUGAUUUUUGGAGAGGAAGACGGUUAGAGAUAUUUUUGGCAGAGGGAAGGAGCCAUAGUCUGGAGCAGAGAACCAGAGAGAGGGAUCUCUGGAGCUGGAGAGGAGCUUCAGGGAGGGUAUUCGUUUAGUUGGAGAGGGAGGUCAGCUGAAGAAGAAAGAUGGUUUGCUGAUUUCUGGCCGACCUAGCUGGAGAGGAUUUUCAGGUAUGUUUAUUGUGGGUUUCUCAUUCGCUUCUACCGGUAAGUUUUUCUUCUCUUGUUUUUGUUGAUUCUUGGAUGAUUUUUGUUGGUUGGGAGUAAGCAUGCUCAUAUCUCUUUCUUUAAUGAUUUUUGUUGAGGACCUGUUUGGCUCUGUUCCAGUUUCCCCAUGAGAUAUUUGUAACCUUGUUUUGAUUUUUAUUUGGUACUCAUUUGAUUUCACCCAUCCUCAUAUGAGCUCAUUGAUUAAUAUAUGAAAUGAGGCUUGUAUGAAUUCAUGUUAUUCCUGUUGCUUGCACUCUGUUUUUGUUGUCUACCCUGUUUCUGGUACCCAUACCUGGACUGUGUUAUUUUCCUCAUUUCCACCUUUGGAAGCAAGGAGUUACAGAGGAUCAUUUCCAAUAGAAGAGUGCUUGGUGAAUACUUAGGCACAAAGAUGACGUGUUCAUCAGGGUAAGAAGGUCCUGAGUGUGCAGUUGCUGGGUGGAUACGUUGCCUGAUACUAUUGCCAUGUGACACCAGAAAAAUUGUCUCCUCAUUUGAAAAGAAUCUUGCUGGGCAAAAGGUUCUUUGACUAUGGGACUGACGGGUCUUGACCGGAGUUAUGCUCAUCCAUGCACAGUUAUGAAACACCAGAUAUGACUGUGUAAUAUUGAGAUGUCCCACCGGUGGUAUUGAAGGUGCUGGAUGCGUUUUGAUACAUGCCGGAUGAGCAGAGAAAUCCACUUCAGGAGUUUCAGGAUGCCCACAUUCCAGGUGCCUUUUUUUCUUUGAUGUUAAUGACAUAUCAGACCAAACCACAAAUCAGCCACACAGGUUGCCAUCGGAGAAAGCUUUUGCAGUCGUUGUUUCUGCCCUUUCUGCCCUUGGCAUUGGAAAUAAAGAUGGAGUUGUUGUUUAUGAUGGAAAAGGAAGUAUGCUCUGAUAAACUGGAAUUUAAAUAAAAUUGCUGUGGGAACUCAAAAUGAGACAAACGUGUUGACUUUAUUGAAACUAUGGAUAUUUUAAAUGAGCAUGCUCGUCUUAAAGCUGGAAUUCUCGUGCAUGAAGAAAUCUAGCAGCAAUGGGGAGUGCUGUGUAUGGACAGCUGGGAAGUCCUGUAGCUGAUGGAAAGAUUCCAACACUUGUUGAAGCAGUAGGAAAUCUCUGAAAACUUCUUUNNNNNNNNNNNNNNNNNNNNNNNNNNNNNNNNNNNNNNNNNNNNNNNNNNNNNNNNNNNNNNNNNNNNNNNNNNNNNNNNNNNNNNNNNNNNNNNNNNNNACUUCAAAAGUCUAACGAGAUAGCAGAAAGAGACACAAUGGGUCCUAGAGUACAGGGACAACUGUCCAGACUCUCAUCAGUUGACUCAUUCAGUCUAGCUGAAAGCAAAGCCAAGUUCCAACGAGACUCAAUCCUCCCACUCACAAACCGGUGCAGCCACCAAUAGUUUAAGAGACACACUUAAUUUGUCUCCUAGAAAUAAAGCAAGCAAAGCUGUCCCCGAAUGACGCCGGCGGCAAGCCGCCGGCGGCGAAACGCUUCCACUCUGACUGCGUCGUGCCCUCAGCUAUCGACUCUGACCGCCGUUUCUCCAGUCGACGCGUGUCGCCGGAAGACUUGACGCUGAUCGAUUCUCUGCCAUCUCAUCUGGCCCUCAUGAUGGCUUCGGUAUUUGUGAUAUUGUUGCUAGUUCCAUUAAGGCUGCUACCAAAGUGAUUGAGGAUCUGCAGGAGAAACUUGAAGCUGCUUUGCAGACCAUGAAGCAGUCUGUAGUUCAUACAAGGAAGUGAAUGAGAGGUUCAACGAAUUGCAUGGGAAGAAUGAAGUGGAAUUCAACAUCUGGAUUGAUGGGGGGAAAGACCUAAAUAUGCCGAGGGAAAUCUGCCCCUCAGAGCAUCAUGGUGGUGAGGUUCAAUACAACCUUUUCUGGGUUGCAAAAGGCAGAGAAACUACACAAUAUGUAUGCUGAAAAUCAACAUGGGAGAACUGAGUUCCAGCAGAUCAAUCUCAAUAAUGGCAAAACAAGUAGACCAAGUCCCAUCUGGAACCGAGGCAAGGCCAACACUAACAAGAAGACAUACAGAUUCAGUAGAGACUAUCACAGUUACAGCUAUUGAAAUGCAGUUUCAGUCCAAGGAGGGUCUUCAGGAAUGCCUUUAAGGAUGUUUCUGAACAAGGUUCCUCACCAUCGACCUCCAUGUUUGUGCAUGAAGAAGUUACAGCAGUCAAGUCAGAUUCCUGGCUCCCAGCUGAAGGCUUCAAUCCAAGCAAUUCUUUUCUACGCACACAUCAGAGUCCAGGGUAGUAAGUGCAUAGCCCAUCAAACUUUUAUGCACUACAUGGUGAUGUAUCUCAGUAUCAAAGGAAGAAAGGUUCUGGGCAAGGUAGAUGCUCAGAUGACGGGGACAUUGAGCUGGGCAGAUUUUGGUGCUGAAGGGGCAGAGAAUCAAAGCUCCAAUUAUGAUCCAGAGGGUGAAUAUGUGAGACAUUGGCUGCCCGAGCUGGCAAGAGUGCCCACUGAGUGGAUUCAUCACCCUUGGGAUGCUCCCUUUACUGUGCUUAAAUCUAGCAGAGGUAGUUUGGAAUCAUGGGCUGCUCAAGCGAGUUGGGGUUUGCCAUAGCAUUAGUGGGAAUGCUUAUGUGUUUCUCUCACUGUACCGACUGACAUGCAAAAUGGAGUUUGUUUUAGUGCCGUGCUGGAUGAGCUUGUUACUAAUGAUGAGAGCUGCCGAAGAUCUUAUUAGAUGGUUGCAUCAGCCAACUUAUCGGCAUCAAAGGUUUAAGUUGUGGUUAAACUAUUUUGAGAUGUAUGGCGGAAAACUCCUUGAUCUUCUCAGCGAUAGAAAGAAACUUUGUAUGAGAGAAGAUAGAAGACAGCAAGCUUGCAUUGUUGGACUGCAAGAAUUUGAAGUUUUGGAUGCACAGAUUGUGAAAGAGAUCCUUGAGAGAAGUUUCUAUUCUAUGUGGUGGGGUCUCUGUGGAUGAUGAGACGACCUUCAUUGUCAUUUUGAUGAGUCAGCCUGCUGCCCAUCUCAAAUAGCUUAUGGAUCAGAAUCCUAUGAGGCUGUAGCAUAUCUUCCUGAAACUGCCAUAAAAGUGGCCAACUCCACUCUGCAUGGUGCAUGGCCACUUUUAAGCCACUUAGCUUUCCGACUUGGUUUCACCUUUGGUUUUUUUAAAUAAUCCCUCAAAUCCCAAUUUUCAAAUAGUUUUCCAAUUUCUCGAUUUUCAAAUAAUUUUAACUUUUUCAAAUCUUCAUCCUUGGUUUUAGUUUUAUUAUGCCUCAAAAUAUCAAUUCUAAUAAAAUUUGCUUCCACUUUCUAUUCGGCGAGCAAUUUUUAAAUCUUCCAUGAUCUUUUAAAAUGUUUUAAAAAAUAAGCAAGAAUUAAUUUCUGUAAUUCCGAGUGAUGGAGUUUACGAAAUUAAUUCAUGCAAAAUAAACGGGUUUUGGUGGGGGCCCUACAUCAAAUAAAUUUGCUUUAAAAUAAAAAUGAAUUUUGAAUGAAAUAUCAUGCGUGCUAUUGGUGCUUCUUUAUCUGUUUUGGUGACAUGAGUGACAUACUUUAUGUUCAUUACUAUGCACUAAUCUCAUUUUGUGAUAGCGCGUUGCCGUUUGCUGAUCAGGUAUGCAUCCACUUCCACUUGAGUUAUCCUCUAUUGCAUAUUCUGAUACUCAUAUGUGCAUGAUUGAUUCGAGUAUUUAUUGAUUUUCUCAUUGAUUACCAUGUCAACUUCACCUCAUUAGUAGAGACCCGACUUAGGGACUUAGAGGGGUGCUACGGUCUUUACCGUACCUUCCCGAUAAGUAACCUGACCCCCGAACUCGAUCCGGUUUUUCGUAGAUCGUCUUUUCUAAAAUAAGGAGUCACACUUAGGGUUUUUCUUUCUUAUUUUGUUUACCCUUUAAAAAUAAAACAAAAAUAAGUGGCGACUCCAAGUCAUUUUGGAAUAAAUAAAAUCAAUUUUUCAAAUAAAAUUCGAGCUCGUCAUCGAGUGGGAAACGCAUUGACCGAGCGAAAUGCGGGGUCCACAAUACCUAAAUUGGAAUUUUUUUUCUACGAGAAAUGACAUAUGGGUGAUUGUGUAUCAUUUUAGUGCAUUUUCCACUAUUAGAAAUAAUUUUGAUUUCCUAGUUUUUAAAAAAUAGCCUCUAAUUUGAAAUCGAUUUACGUCUAGAAGUUUCUACUCCUAGCCUCGUACUAUGCAUCUCUCCGGUCCCUCAUGGGGUUUUUGAUAAAUUUAUGGUAAAUUUAAAAAAUUAUGUGUAAAAAUUGGUAGUUUCAAAAAUACCGACGCUUUGUGUUACACAAGUUUUAUCAAAAGCAUCAUAUCACAACUAAUCUUAAAAUUUUGUUUUGAAGACACAAUUUCAAUGGAUCAUUAUGAAAUCAUGUUUUCAAGACAUGACUUUAGUAUAUUAUUCUUAAAAUGAUGUUUUGAAAACAAGAUUUUAGUGCAUUAUCAUGAAAUUAUAUGUAUAGGAUAUGACUUCAUUUCAUUUUAUUUCAUUUAUUUUUUUCCUACUUUUUCCUUUAAUAUAUUAUUAUGUAAAUUAAUUUUUUUUUUUCAUGUUUUUAAAUUUUUUAAUUUUUCCUAUUUUUAUGGUUUUUUUUAAAAUAAGUUUUUUAUAAUUAUUUUAUAUACAUGAAAUGUUAAAAAUAGCACGAAGGUUGCAAUUCAUUUGUUUAUAGAGAUUUAUUUUGGAAGAAUAUGAACAAAGAAAAAGCAACCGAAAAUAAAUAAAUAUAAAAAAUUUAAAAAUAAAUAAACUUAAUUAUUUACAUAAAUUCAUUGUCUUGAUCCAUUUGUAAUUUUAUACAAAUUUAAAUAAUUAAAUAAAAAUUUGAAAAGAAAUGAAAAAAAUAAAAAAUACAUAAAUUUCAUAUUUAAUGUAUUAUUAUUAUUAUUAUUAUUAUAAUUAUUGUUUAUUUUGACAAAAUCUUCAAUUUUUUUUUUACAUUGAAAUUGUGUCUUGAAGAUACAAUUUUAAUAAAAUAAACUAAAAUUAUGUCUUCAAGUUAUGACUUGAGCAAAAUGCACUAAAAUCAUGUAUUCAAAUUACGACUUUAGCAAAACACACAAAAAUUGAUGUGGUGUCGGACACAAAGUGUCAUGAAAUAUUUUUUAAAUUGCGAUGUUUUAAAAAAUAUUUUUAAAAUUAUGGUAUUUUUUUUAAAAAAAAAAAAAAAGCACUGAAAGGAGGACGAAAACAAAGAAAAGUUACAAAAACUCUCUACUAGUAAAACUCAAGGUAGUCUAGUUCCCCUAGUUUGCCACCUUCCACUCGAAUAUCGAACCAAAACUUCUCCAAAUUCAAUGAAAUGUCUUGUGUCACCAACCAGAAACCUGCCAUCAAUCGACUCUCAUCCAUCUCAAAGUCAAGGGCCAAGUCUUCUCUUUAAUAUUAUCUCUUUAAUAUAAAAUUUAUUAAAGAAUUAUCCUGCUGGACAAGUCAUCUUACCCGACUUACAGAAUUAAGUUUGAGAGGAUGCAAAAAUUUGAGGAGUCUUCCAAGUAGCAUUUGUCAGUUGAAAUUCUUGAGAUACUGCCAUCUCGAUGGUUGUUCAAAUCUAGAGAUUUUUUCGAAGAUCACGGAAGAUUUGGAACAUUUAACAUACCUUAAUUUACGUCAAUUGGCUAUAACAGAGCUACCAUCAUCAAUUGAACGUCUAAAACGUCUUACACGCUUGGAAUUGAGCAAUUGUGAUAAACUUGAGACUCUUCCAAACAGCAUUGGUAAUUUGACGUGUCUUCAUGCUCUUCUUGUUCGUAACUGUCGAAAGCUCCACAAAUUGCCCGACAGUCUGAGAAGCCUACAUCGUUGCUUAAACGAACUAGAUGUAGGUGGUUGCAAUUUGAUGGAAGGAGCAAUCCCUAGUGAUUUAUGGUGCUUGUUCUCAUUGGAAUCGUUAAAUGUGAGUGAAAACAAUAUUCGUUGCAUACCUGUUGGCAUCAUUCAACUUUCUCAGCUGGAUAUCCUUCGCAUGAAUCAUUGUCCGGUGCUUGAAGAAAUUCUAGAGCUUCAAUCAAGUUUAAGAUGGAUAGGAGCACAUGGUUGUCCAUGCCUGGAAACUUUAUCAAGUGAUCCAAUGCAUCCACUCUGGUCCUCUCUUCCCAACUGCUUAAAAUCACACAUUCAGUCAUGAAAUUUACAUGCUAUUUUUAUAUAGGAUUUUGAAUGCCCAACACACUCAAAGUACUACUGUGAAACUAGAGUUGUUAUUCCAGGAAGUAGAGGAAUACCAGAGUGGAUAAGUCAUAAGAGCAUGGGAAGUGAAAUAACAAUAGAUCUUCCAAAGAAUUGGUACGAAGAUAACAACUUCUUGGGAUUUGCUUUAUUCUACCAUCAUGUUCCACUCGAUUAUGAUCAUGAUUUACUUAAUCCAACAUUGGAUUUGUUGAUGUCCCAUGGAAAUCGGUUUGAAUACAUGCAUCGCAUAUGGUUUAGUCCAGAAGGUAAAAAAAUGCUUUACUAAUGGUGUUUAAAUUUGGCCUUGGGGCUUUGAGAAGGAUUGCACAUCAUGUCCAGAUCCAGAAUUGAUGGUGGCCUAUUUCCCUCAGAUUGCCAUUUCAAGUAAGUAUCGAUCCAAUAUGUGGAACAACUUUAAGGCUAGGUUUUACGGCCCUUAUGGGCGUGGCGCCCAAGUGGAAAGUUGUGGGAUCCAUCUCAUAUAUAACAAAGCCCAAGAUCAUUCUCAAUAGAGCCUUCAACUAUUCAAUGUCAAAAGAAGCCAUGAUGAUACAGAGGAUUACCCACAUCACAAAAGAUGAAACAUGUCUAGUUUCCAGCUCCCUCCGCCAAGGUACAUCUUCUCUCUUUUUCAUUUACUUAGGUUAUGUUUGGUUCCGGAAAGUACCAAGGAAAGAAAAAAAAAUAUAAAGAAAAAUGAUUUUCUCAUGUUUGGUUUUACUAUAAAUUUUUUUAAAAGAAAAUUAAAUAUAAUUAAAAUUAAUUAGAAAUUUAUAUAUUUUAAAUUUAUUUAAUCUUUAUAUAAUGAAGGAAAUUAAGUGAAAUGAGCUUGAAAAAACAUAUAAAAUAAUUUAUUAAUUUUAAAUUCAUUUUUUAUUUUCUUUCCUUCCACUUUUCCUCUUUAUUUUCUUUCUCUCACAUUUUCCCUCAAAAUUUCUGGAACCAAACAUAGCCUUAAGGUUAAAAUAUUUAUUAGAAUUAGUGAAAAAGAAGUAUCAAGACAACUUCUAAUAUUGUUAUAUGUUUGGGAGGUUGAAUGUGUUAUUAGAUAUGUUCAAGUCAUUUAAAUGAUCCCCCUCUUUUUUUCUUUUUUAUUCCCUUUUCAAGCUUUGAUUUUAACUAUUUACUCUUAACUAUACCAAAAUAAAAAAUUUCCUUUUUAAAAAAUAUGUGAAUAUUUAUUCUAGCUAAUCUUUGAAAUAAAUUAUUGAAUUUAGAACCAUAAACCAUAUUCAAAUUUUAAAAGUUAAAAGUAUCCAACUUAGAUAAGUAUAGAUACUAAAUGAAUUUUGUAAAAUAUUUAUUUAUUUUAUUUUUAAUUUUAUUUAAUGCUUAUUAAUUAAUUUUACUUAAAUCCUAAUAUAUAUUAUAAAAAUACAUUCUAAAAAAUGGUUUUUUUUGUAUUUUGUAGUUGAUAUUUUAGUAAAUAUUUUUUGAGGUCGAUAUCUUCCAUUUGAUUUUGAGAUUUAUUAAAUGUUUAGAUUUUUAAAUUUCAUCGAGUAGUUAUUAAUUUAUAUUCUAUAUAAUUUUUUUUAAUAAAAUUUAAUUUUAUUUAAAUAUUUUAUAUUUUAUUAAAUAAUUCUUUUAGGGGUGGUUGUUUUAUAACUAAAAUUAAACAACUAAGUUAAUUAAAAAUUAUAUAUAUAACUUGAAAGUUAAAGCAACAAAAAAAAAGUAUUUUAAAAAUAAUAUUUUUAUAUAUUUAAAAUUUUAGAUUUAUGUUAACAUAGUUUGAUAGGAGAUUAACAAGCUGGAAUCAUGUUAAUGGGUUAUUCUUCAACUUAACCCAUUUAUUAAUGAGAUUAAAGUUUAAAAAANNNNNNNNNNNNNNNNNNNNNNNNNNNNNNNNNNNNNNNNNNNNNNNNNNNNNNNNNNNNNNNNNNNNNNNNNNNNNNNNNNNNNNNNNNNNNNNNNNNNUUUCUUUAAUAUUUUUCAAGAACAAACAUAACCUUAAAAUAAUUAAAUAUUCCAAACAACCCUACAACAAAUUUCAUAUACCACUAUCAUAAAUUUUUAUGGGAAAACGAAGAUUUUCAAAACAAAUUUUAUUUUUACAGCAAAAAAUAUGUUUUUUAGAGAUGAAAUUUACAUUUAUGGCAAAAUAUUAUAUUUAACCAUAUUGAGGCAAAAAAAAAUUUAUAAGAUUUUGAUAUUAUAUUUAAGCCUAAUUCGAAAUUAAUUUAAUAUUAAUUUCACACUAAAUAAUUAAAGAAAAAAAGGGGGUCUUAAGCAUGCCAGGUGACAAAUAUUUAAAAAUAUAUAUAUAUAUUUUAAUUUUUUUUUCCAAAUUAGAGUCCACUUCCAAAUAUUGAUGGGAGAUUCUACAUGAAAUUUUGUUUAAGAACAAUAAAUUAAAAUAAAUUUUAAUUCUAAAAUCAUUCUGUUAAUGUUGAUUUUUUUUUUUUUCACAUUAUUGAAAUGACUUUUCUGUUUCAGGCUUUCAGCUAUGCUCUCCUCUCUCUCCCAUCAACUUUGGUUUCGGUCUCUCCUCUCACCGUUGACGAAUGACAAACCUCACCGGCGCAAUGGGCAAUGAAAUAUUCCUAUUGCCGAAAACGCUGAUCGGUCGGAGAUUAAAGCCCUAGAUCAACCAGAAUCUCAAUGAAGAACCCUACAGAAAAAAGAGCAUCCUUGAGACUGCGAAAACAAGUUCGAGAAGACAUUUUGUUAGUUUUUUUACCUUUAUUUUGUUCAAUUUCCUGUGAUAAUCUGCCUCUGUCACCGAUUUUCAGUUUGAAAUUUGCGUUUUCUAGGUUGAUAUGUUCUUCCUUAGCUUGAUUGAGCACACACUGCAAUUGCAGCCUCAUCUUCUGGACCUUCCCCUCAAUGAAGCCGUCAAAGGAGAGUUUGAAAGUCUCUUCUUAGACAAGGUCUGUAGAUUGAGCAUUAUCUUUGCGUUUUUCAUUUGUUAUUGAGAUUUCAAAGCAUUUAAGGGACAGAGAAGAAUGUCUUGUGACGAUAUGAGGUCUAUUGAUGGUGGUUUUAUCUGGUUUCUAUACUUAAUCUAAAAUUUGGUUUUCAUAUAUUAUCUAUCUUGUUCUUUGAUACAAGUGUAUUUCUGACAGAGUCUAAUUAUUUUUUUUCCUUUUAUUUUUCCUUUUUAUUGAUGUUUGGUUUCACUCCUUAAAUGGAAACGGAAUGACUGUGAUUUCUUUCCUGGACUGCAGCCAAAAUUGAUGAUUUUGAGCGGCUUCGCCAGAAGAACUGAAUCAACAAAAUAUAGAAGCCUUAGUUGCUGAGAAUAAUCUGGUACUCGAUCAUCAUGUUUCAUCUUUUCUUUCCUUUUCUUAACUUUUAUGUCACUUCAGUUGGUAAUUUUCAUUCUGGUGGAACCCUGAUAGACCAUUGAUAUUACCAAAAACUAUAAUUGAAAUCCUGGGAAACUAUGAAUUAGUUUUUAAUGGCAACAGAGGAGAGAUGAUGUGGAAUUUUGUAGGCUACAUCUAGGUUUCGGGCAUGGACUGCAGUUCUAUGGGCUUGGUUCUACUUGUCCUGUACUAGAGUGAAGUUUCUAUUUUUUUCCAAUUACUGAAUCACAUAGGACUUGGAUAAGUGAAAUUCGGGUGUGAUAACAGAAGCAGUAUAGUUAUUUAGUCUUUUCUUUCUUUCACUCCUGGGUCCCUUAGAAUGAUAUUCAUUGAUGCAAAAAAUGAAGAUCCUUCCAGUCAAUGAUGUGGAUCUUGCAUUGCACAAUUUUGUCAACAAAGAUGACAAAAUGUCUUUCUAUUCUUGUGUUCAAUAUAAUCUGGAAGAGACACAUGUAAAUACUCCAUAUUAUGUCUUCAAAUUUCUGUGACAAUAUGGCAGAUAGUUUAGGUUGGUUUUUAGUUAUACCACAUCUAUAUGGUAUUGAAUUUGUUUGAAUAUAACAAUUGUAAGUAUAUUGUAGAUGAUUUUGAGUUGUUUGUGGAUUUAUCUGAUGUAUGUAGAUAUUAUGCCUGCGUGUCCAUGGUCGGUUUUUCUAUUUGGACAGAGUAAAAUUGCUUGUGAUUCAGAUCCUUUAAAAUUAAAAGAGGAAGAUUUAAUUCUUAAAGUUGGAGAGUGCUUGGAGGCAAGAAGCUUAUUCUUAUUCUCUUCUUUCCUUUUUAAAUUAUUGUAAGGGUUCAAUAUUUCCUAGUGUUGUCUAAUUGUCUCCUAGGUGAUUUCUUUCCCUUUCUAUGGGCAUUACUAAGUAUAUAAGCAGUGAUUUUAAAUCUAAAGGUUAAUUAUACUAUUUGCCUUUUGAGUAGUUAGGUUUAAGACUUCUUGAGUAAAAGAAGGAAUCUCUAUACAUGUACUCUUUCUUCCCCACUCUUCCUUCCCCAUUAGGACAUUGCAUUGCAGAAGUAGCAUUUGGCAUCUCACUGACACUUGGUGUGAACCUGCUGCCUGCAUGCCUUGCCUAUAUAGGAAAUAUAUAAUUUGAUGGUAACUAAAUAUAACUAUUGCAGGAACAGGUUAAGGAAAGGUCAGUGCACUCCAAGGAAACCCCACAGUUCAUGUCUGGUGCUCAGUCAUUGGAGGUAAUGCUUAUUCUUCUAGUUUUCUUAGCAGAACAAGUGAUCUCCAUGUCUGGAUUUUCCCCCCUUUUUACCUGUCAUUCUUGUUCAAUAUUUAUCCACUCUCUGCUUUCCAAUCUUUUAUUUAUUAUUAUUUUUUUUCAGUUUUUUUUUGUAGAAUAUCACAAGUAAAGGUACUGCAGAAACUGGAAGUGCAGUUUCCUUUAGUGAUGAAUGAUGAUGAAGACCUCACCCAGUUAUCUGGGUCAAAAUCUACCACUAGGGGCAGAAAAAGGUCAUGAGCAACUUUUAAGCCUUCCAUGAUGCUUCUGAACAUGGUAAAGUUAAAACUUCUACAUAAGUUUUGGGGAAAUCAAGCCUAACUUGAACUUGAUUCCACCUUGCACCUAUGCUUCUAGAAAAAUUAUUGAUUUUGUGAAUGGACUAUGUUGAAUUGGUCUACUGAUGCUUGAUUAUCUUUUUUUUUUUUUUUUGGAAAAAACUAGGCCAUGAUGUGUGUAUUUGAUGAAUUAAUUCUGCAUAUUUGGUUGACUAAACCUUGCGCUGGCCUAAUUUAUGUUCUCUAUUUGAAAACUAAGAAAGUAUCAAGAACUGGUAUCAAACCCCUAUUUCUUAUCCCUUCUCAACUGAGACAAGGAUCAAUUUACUAGUGAUCCUUUUCUUGAGACAUUAGUGAAGGUACAUUAUGAAGCAUUUCCCAUAGUCACUUUCAUUAGAAUUGUAGUUCUAUUUCUGAAUUGAGAAAUGCGUUUGCGAAAUACCCCAGUUUGCCUUAUUUUUCUUGCUGUGUUGCCCAGAAUAUCACAAAUGAAUGGGCUAAAGGAGUGUUUAGUGAUGCCGAAAAACAAUAACACAUCAUAUAUAUGUUAUUGUUUCUUCUUUUUCAUUUUCUUCCUAUUUUCUCUGGUUUUUAUUUUUUCUUAAAGAUCUUGGAUUCUUACAGGUGCAUAUUGCACAGAGAGGUGUUUUGCAACCUUUGAUUGAGAUGCUUCAAUCUGCAGAUGUAUGGUUGAGGGAAAUGUCAUCCUUUGCAUUGGGGAGAUUGGCAUAGGUUAUACUCAAAUUCUUUUAUUUCCUUUUCAAAUUACAAUUGACAAAUAAUAUUAAUGGCAUAAAAUGCUUACUAUAUUAUAUCAAUGAGUAGUCUGUUUCUUUCAAGUAAUCUUUACAGGAUUUAUCAAAACAUGUAGUUUUGUUUUAGAGUGAUUUCAAACACAAUAUAUUUCUGAAUUUUAUUUUACCUGCUUCCUAUUCCUGUUUACUCUUCCUUAUGAGGUAUACACCAUUUGUCUCAACUUAAAACAUGCCCUUCCAUUGAUAUACAGUAGUUUGGUUCAUUGCAGUUGGUCCAUUGAUAUAAAGUGUACCACCUUGCUGUAAAUCCAGGCAACCAUCAAAAAUUUUAGCCGUGAAAAUGAAAAUUUUGUAUAUGCUGUUCCAUUUAUGAUGGAUAAUUGCAUCCUUACACCUUAUAGUUUUGGUUCAUUUAUAACAUAAAACUUGGGUAUGGUCAAUGAACUCACUUCAUGAAUUUUGGUAAUGCCCAAGUUCAAGCUUGAGUUUCAAGUCAACUAUAUAGAGACUGAAAAAGAACACUACUGCUUAAACCUUAAAUUUGAGCUACAAAAAGCGUGGGCUUUAAUUUUUGUUACAUUGUAGACACUGAUCAAAUGACUGCCUAAAACUUGGUAUUCUAUUUCCAAUGAAAAGAGACAAAAAGAGCACUACCAUGCUGGAGCUUACUUUUUCUUUAAAACUGGACUCACACAUAAGCUGCUUUUUUUCACCCUAAAUUCUGCAUAUUUAAUUAUCUUGCAACAAGGCCAGAAUUUAUAAAGUAAUUCCAACCUUGCUUGUUUUUCCUUGUUCAUCUUCGACCCAAAAUAGCUAGAGAGAUGAUUAUUUUCUUUGAAUGCUUUCUCUUAUAUCAGGUUCCAAACAGUAUCAAAAACCUUCUAGGCUUGCAAAUACUUCUCUAAAAUCUAAUUUAUAGUACUAUUGCCGACUUUGCUUUUGAACUAUUCUUUCCCCUUCAUUUUCCAAUACCAUAUAUUCUCUCUCUUUUUUUUUCUUUUUUUUUUUUCCCCUUUUUGAUAAGAACAAAACAACUUCUUCACAAUAUGAGCCAACUGAUGUACCAUUUUCUUUCAAAAAUGGUUCCCUUAACAGCCAUGCAAAUUUUCUGCGUAAAAUAGACCAUUUUCUUCAAUAUUGAUUAGAAAGGUGAACUCUGGUGAAGUUUACAUGUAAGGUGUGAUCAUAUUAUGAACUAAUUUUCCUUUAUCUUUAUAUGCUAUCUUCUUAUUGGCCUUCACUUUUAACUUCUGUUUAUCUUUUUUUUUUCUUCUGGAUUACCCCCAAAAAUCUGCCAACCUGCCUACAAAAGAAAAGAAUUGUUUAGUGGAGCAAUUGUGUGAAGUUCUAUAUU